GUCUCUAUAGUUCAAGGGUAGAACAUAACACUGUUAAUGUUAGUAUAUAGGUUCGAGACCUGUUAGAGACU
rnacentral:tRNA from 1 species